rnacentral:pre_miRNA from 1 species
ACAACAUUCGGACCGUCGGUCUACCGAGCAAUAUCACUAGAUCGGUGGAAGAUCUUCCUUUUGUCAU